rnacentral:tRNA from 1 species
GGCAAGGUGGCCGAGUGGUUAAGGCGGCAGACUUAAGUUCUGCUGAUCGUAAGAUCUCGUGGGUUCGAACCCCACCCUUGUCA